rnacentral:rRNA from 1 species
GACGAACGCUGGCGGCGUGCCUAAUACAUGCAAGUAGAACGCUGAAGAGAGGAGCUUACUCUUCUUGGAUGAGUUGCGAACGGGUGAGUAACGCGUAGGUAACCUGCCUUGUAGCGGGGGAUAACUAUUGGAAACGAUAGCUAAUACCGCAUAACAAUGGAUGGCACAUGUCAUUUAUUUGAAAGGGGCAAUUGCUCCACUACAAGAUGGACCUGCGUUGUAUUAGCUAGUAGGUGAGGUAAUGGCUCACCUAGGCGACGAUACAUAGCCGACCUGAGAGGGUGAUCGGCCACACUGGGACUGAGACACGGCCCAGACUCCUACGGGAGGCAGCAGUAGGGAAUCUUCGGCAAUGGGGGCAACCCUGACCGAGCAACGCCGCGUGAGUGAAGAAGGUUUUCGGAUCGUAAAGCUCUGUUGUAAGUCAAGAACGGGUGUGAGAGUGGAAAGUUCACACUGUGACGGUAGCUUACCAGAAAGGGACGGCUAACUACGUG